rnacentral:piRNA from 1 species
UNGAUUGGUGCCCCUAAAUGGACAGCUUUGU